UUCAAGAUGGCCGAGUUGGUCUAAGGCGCCAGUUUUAGGUACUGGUCCGAAAGGGCGUGGGUUCAAAUCCCACUGUUGACA
rnacentral:tRNA from 1 species